GAUGAACGCUGGCGGCGUGCCUAACACAUGCAAGUCGAGCGAACGGACGAGAAGCUUUCUUGUCGGAUGUUAGCGGCGGACGGGAUAGAACCAAGUGUACAACAUACCUAUAGGAAACGGAUAACAUCGGGAAAUCGUACCUAAUACCGGAUAAGAUUUUGAACCGCAUGGUUUAAAAGCUAAAGAGGGCCUUGCUGUCGCUGAUAGAUGGAGCCGCGCUGGAUUAGCUAGUUGGUAAGGUAACGGCUUACCAAGGCGACGAUGCAUAGCAGACCUGAGAGGGUGAUCGGCCACACUGGAACUGAGACACGGCCCAGACUCCUACGGGAGGCAGCAGUGGGGAAUCUUCCACAAAGGGCGAAAGCCUGAUCCAGCAACGCCGCGUGCGUGAUGAAGGUCUUCGGAUCGUAAAACGCUGUUAUUAGGGAAGAAAAUAUGUUUUCGUAACUGUGCACAUCUUGACGGUACCUAAUCAAAAAGCCACGGCUAACUACGUG
rnacentral:rRNA from 1 species